rnacentral:rRNA from 1 species
GACGAACGCUGGCGGUGUGCUUAACACAUGCAAGUCGAACGGUAAGGCCCUUUCGGGGGUACACGAGUGGCGAACGGGUGAGUAACACGUGAGUAACCUGCCCUCAUCUCUGGGAUAACAGUCGGAAACGGUUGCUAAUACUGGAUAUGAGCUUGCAAGGCAUCUUGUGGGUUGGAAAGAUUUUUUUGGUUGGGGAUGGACUCGCGGCCUAUCAGCUUGUUGUGAGGUAGUGGCUCACCAAGGCUUCGACGGGUAGCCGGCCUGAGAGGGCGACCGGCCACAUUGGGACUGAGAUACGGCCCAAACUCCUACGGGAGGCAGCAGUGGGGAAUAUUGCACAAUGGACGGAAGUCUGAUGCAGCAACGCCGCGUGCGGGAUGACGGCCUUCGGGUUGUAAACCGCUUUCAAUUGUGACGAAGCUUUUUGUGACGGUAGCAGUAGAAGAAGCACCGGCUAACUACGUG